CAAUAGCGUGUAUUAAAGUUGUUGCAGUUAAAAAGCUCGUAGUUGGAUUUCUGGUGGGAGCGAUCGGUCUGGCGCUUAGCGCGAGUACUUGCAUCGUCUCCGGCCAUCCUUGGGGAGAGUCUGUCUGGCAUUAGGUUGUCGGGCAGAGGAUCUUCAUCGUUUACUGUGAAAAAAUUAGAGUGUUCAAAGCAGGCUUAUGCCGUUGAAUAUAUUAGCAUGGAAUAAUAAGAUAGGACUUUGGUACUAUUUUGUUGGUUUGCGCACCAAAGUAAUGAUUAAUAGGGACAGUUGGGGGUAUUCGUAUUCCGUUGUCAGAGGUGAAAUUCUUGGAUUUACGGAAGACGAACUACUGCGAAAGCAUUUACCAAGGAUGUUUUCAUUAA
rnacentral:rRNA from 1 species